UGCACACACACACACGUGCACGCGCACACACACCAUGGCCAGAAUAUGGAGCCUGCUGCUUUAUUGUUCUUUUUCUACUGUCUAUGGAUCUCUGAUCUUACAGACACCGUCCUUCAUUGCAGCAGAGGUUGGUGAAGACGUCCAUCUCAACUGUUUCUACUUUAAGGACACCGUCUCAAGUGCCAUCUGGAUGAAACAGCCCGUUGGAGAGAAGACAGUGACCAUCGCCUCAUAUUACGCUUCAACUACAAACUAUCACAAUGGCUUUGACAGGAGCGGCCGAUUUAAACUGGACAGUGCCACUAACAGCAUCAAUCUGACCAUCUCCCAAGCACAAGCAGCGGACUCUGCUACCUAUUAUUGCGGAUUCAUCUAUUAUACAGAAGUGACUUUUGGAAAAGGAAGUGUCUUAUUUGUCAAAGGAGGUGGGAACUCCAGGAGUGGUGUGUUUGAGCUGCAGCGUGGGUUUGAGUCAGAGUGCCCCAAAGUGUCAAUCAUCCUGACGAGUCUCCGCCUCCCAGACGCACACACACACACAACUGCAUGGUGGAGGCCUGCACCCACAUCCUCUCUGCAAACAGGACAGCGCCACCAAGUGCGUCUGAUCCUCUCGGUAGCUGUGUGUUUUGGGGCGUCCAUAGCUGUGUGUUUUGGGGCGUCCUGAAGACUGCGGUCCUGCUGGUGGCUCUGCUGGUGUUCACACUCAUCUGCUGUGUGAGGAAGAACGUCUGACCAUCAUUACACCAUCACACCAUUACGUCAUCACACCACCAACACACCAUCAUGCCAUUUGUACCACAUUUGUAUUUAUAUCUCAAUCAGUCAGUGUUAUUGGACUUCAUGGGUUAGAAUGACUCACUCUGGAGAAUGACUCACUUGUGCCUUUUAUGUCAUUUAGUAUUUUAUUAGGAAUGCUUGUUACACCCCCAUAUUUUAAUUUGCUGUAAUUGAUUUAGUGAUUUAAACUGUGUCUUUGAUCACCUGUUCAUUGUUCUGAGUUCUGAGUUAACA